AUACGGGGGGAGCAAGCGUUGUCCGGAAUCACUGGGCGUAAAGCGCGUGUAGGUGGGCCUGUAAGUCUGGGGUGAAAUGUCGGGGCUUAACCCCGAACCUGCCUCGGAAACUACAGGUCUUGAGUAUGGAAGAGGGAAGCGGAAUUCCAGGUGUAGCGGUGGAAUGCUUAGAUAUCUGGAAGAACACCGGUGGCGAAGGCGGCUUCCUGGCCCAUUACUGACACUCAGACGCGAAAGCGUGGGUAGCAAACAGGAUUAGAUACCCUGGUAGUCCACGCCCUAAACGAUGAUCACUAGGUGCUGGGAGAUUCGACCCUUUCAGUGCCGUAGCUAACGCGUUAAGUGAUCCGCCUGGGGAGUACGAUCGCAAGGUUGAA
rnacentral:rRNA from 1 species